AAGGUUAAAAGCUAUGACGAAAGAGUGGUUUGAAGGCAAAGGAUUGUCUUGAUAUUGGCUGUAAUAGUGGAGUGAUCACAAUUGCCAUUGCACAAAAGUUUAGCUGCCGAAGCAUCCUUGGAAUUGACAUUGAUGGUGCAAGAGUUAAUGAUGCCUAUUGAACUCUCAGGAGAAAAGUGAAGAGUAUUAGAACAGUGCCUGCAGGGGGUGACAAAUUAGAAGAAUCAAAUACUGUAAAUUGUUUAAAAGACCCUGCAGUAGAGUCACUUAAUAAAAGGGCAAAGAAUGAUUGUACAACACCUCAUCAUUUGCAAGAGGGAGAUUUUUUUGACAGUCUCCUCAUCUGCAUCCAAAAACAAUACAUCUUAUGAUACAAUUAUUUGGUAAGUUUUCUUUUUCUUUAACGUCAUCUUCCCUGUAUGGUUCAAGAGAUGUGAAAUCUUUUAGUCAAUUGCAAUCCUUCUGUGAAAAGGUGCCCAAGAUGUUAUAUUGUUGGAACUUGUGUUUCCUUUUCAAAAUCACCCAAAAUUUUAUU